rnacentral:rRNA from 1 species
GACGAACGCUGGCGGCGUGCUUAACACAUGCAAGUCGAACGGAAAGGCCUCUUUCGGGGGGUACUCGAGUGGCGAACGGGUGAGUAAAACGUGAGUAUCCUGCCCUUGACUUUGGGAUAACUUCAGGGAAAUGGGGCGAAUACAGGAUAGGAGCUCCUGCUGCAUGGUGGGGGGUGGGGAGUUUCUGGGGGUGGGGGUGGGCUCGCGGCGUAUCAGGUUGUUUGUGGGGGAGUGGGUUACCAAGGGUUUGUCGGGUAGCCGGGCUGGGAGGGUGAGCGGGCACAAUGGGACUGGGAUUCGGCCCAGGACCCUACGGGGGGCAGCAGGGGGGAAAAUUGCACAAUGGGGGGAAGCCUGAAGCAGCAACGCCGGGUGCGGGAAGACGGCCUUUGGGUUGGAAACCGCUUUCGCUCAGGACGGAGCUGUGUGUGACGGUAGUGGGUAAAGAAGCACCGGCUAACUACGUG